rnacentral:piRNA from 1 species
UCUUAUUUUGUAGCUCUGGGUGG